rnacentral:rRNA from 1 species
GACGAACGCUGGCGGCGUGCCUAAUACAUGCAAGUCGAACGCAGUGGGGACGGGUGAAUAAAACGUGGGUAACCUCCCAUCAGAGGGGAUAACACUUGGAAACAGGUGCUAAACCGAUACUGAUGGAUGGACCCGCGGUGCAUUAGCUAGUUGGUGAGGUAACGGCUCACCAAGGCAACGAUGCAGAGGCGACCUGAGAGGGUGAUCGGCCACACUGGGACGGAGACACGGUCCAGACGCCUACGGGAGGCAGCAGUAGGGAUGCUUCGGCAAUUGACGAAAUUCUGACCGAGCAACGCCGCUUGAGUGAAGAAGGUUUUCGGAUCGUAAAACUCUGUUGUUAGAGAAGCGGGAUCUAACCAGAAAGCCACGGCUAACUACGUGCCAGCAGCCGCGGUAAUUC